GGUGUUACGGGGCAUGCUGACAGUGUAGUUUUAAUUUACGUGGCAUUAGAAACGUUUGUCAAUUGUAUUUUUAUAAUUUUUUAAUAAAAAAAUUAAAUGUACAAAGUGCAAGUAUAAUUUAAGUAAGGGCAAAGUUGGGAAAUCAAAUUAAAUUAAGUGUUGAAAGCCCUUUUCUCCUCUGCAAUUGCAAAAUCGAAAUCAGAUUGGGGGAAGGUGAGUUUUAGGGUUCGUGUGAUAGCUCCACCAUCGAGCUAUGAUUCAGAUUCGUGAGAUGAACCAAGCAGAGAAAUCAGAAACAGCAACAACGAAGCGAAUGGAUAAUGGAAAGGCAACGAAUGCAAGUGUAAAGGAAUUGGUGGAAUGGUUGAAGUGUUGAUGAUGACACAGAUCUAGCUCAGAAGGCCUUCACCAAUGGAAGGAAGCUAGAGGAAAAGUUGGAGGAAGCACAAGAAGAAGUGACUCUCGGUGAUGAAAGAGCUGGAAGCAAUGUGCUCAGCAUUUCAAUUCUCUCAUUAAUCCAAAAGUGUUUGACAAGGGAAGCUGCCAUGAAUUUAUAGACUAUUCAUGGAGCUGCAGCGUGAGAAUGAUGAACCAGAAAACGUGGAUCAGCUACCACGUGUUAACAUAUGUGUAAACGAUGAAGGCCUUCUAGAAAGGCUUAUUCAAAAUGUGCUGAAAAGAAAAAAAACACGUGGUCUGGUGCUGACUAAAGAAGAUCUUGUCGUGGUGUAUACUUAGCAAAGGGUGGUGGUGUAGCUAGCAACUUUGACAGUCAUAUGGACGGGUUUGCCCCUUCUCUUGGUGUCUCCAAAUUCCACUUAAAAUGAAGGAAGAGAACUUGCCCUCUUGUGUCCAUAUCUUCAAGCUCUUCUUGGAUUCUUCUAGCCAUACUUCUAGUAAUGGGUCCAUGACCUAAGUCAUCAUCUCCUCCCCCUUGAAGAGGAUUUGACCUCAAAUCCAAAUCAUCAUCUGUGUGAAAUCCUGCAAAAGGACGAAAAUCAGUAACAUUAAAAGUAGAAUGGACACCAUAAUCUGAUGGAAGGUCUAAUUGGUAAGCAUUGUUAUUGACCUUCUUAAGGAUCUUAAAAG
rnacentral:lncRNA from 1 species